ACCCCAGCCAGCAUGGCCGGCAGGAGCGCACCGCGCUGUCUCCCUCCAGGGAUCCGCACCGCCCUACAAUCCUGCUUUGUGCUGAGAUUGUAGUCCUGCAGGCGUACAACUAACAAGCUGGGUGCAGAUAAGAGACUACAGCUCCCCGCAUCCCAAGCAAAGGUCCCUCCUCUACGGAGCCCCUCCACGCGUCCACUGCGGUUCCGCCGUGCCAAGGGGAGCUUGGCUGUUCACGGGCCUCACCUGCUAGCGAGAAGAUAGCUUGGCCGGGCGGCUGAUCUCACCUUGUAAUUCUGACACUGUGUCUCCCGGGCUUGUCGGCUUCAUGACUUGUGCCCAAAGUUUGAUUUCUCGCAGACCAGGAGGACCCAUUGGACCCCCGGGCUGGCUGCAGGGCCCACACCUGGGUUAGACCUCGCACAGGGACGCUGCUGCCACUGUAAUAAAGCGUGCCUACACGCUUCUGAAACUGGUGUAGGAACAACCUCAGUUCUGUGAAAGGCGGACGCAGCAGGACAGAAUCUCCGUGGACAUCUGUCUGGAGGAGCAAUUUUACUGCGACAUUUUAAAGAAACAAAUUUAAUUGAUUUCCAAGGGUGUCCAUCGCGCUUCCUUCACUGCCUUGAUCAUGUCGGGGUCACCACCUGCGGGGGUUUGUCCUGCAGACCCUGACUCAACGACGGAUGAAUAAUGUACACUGACACAGAUCUUAUGCUUGUCAGUCCUGCUGAGCAUCCAGGCCACUUACAGACUCCAAGAAGAGUCCUGUCAGCCACGGCUCUGACUUGUUGGCCCUCCCGGCAUUUAUUUAGCACACAUUUAAUGACAGAAGUCUCAGGUAAACACCACUAGAAGGCUGGAAACACUCUUUUUGUAGAACAUACAAAUGGACAUUUCUAAGCACAUUGAGGCCUAUAAUGAAAAAUCAAAUAUCCCACAAUGAAAACUAGAAGGAAGCUAUCUGUGAUAAUGCUUUGUGGUGUAUGGAUUCAUCUCACUGACUGAAACCUGAGUUUUGAUUCACCAGGUUGGAAACUCUUUCUGCAGAAUCUGCAAAGAAAUAUUUCUGAGCCCAUUGAGGCCUACAGUGGAAAACUGAAUAUUCUGUGAUAAAACUAGAAACACCCUAUCUGUGAAAAUGCUUUGUGAUGUGUGGAUUUUUCUCAUCGAAUGGAACCUCUGUUUUGACUCACAAGGGUGAAACACUAUUUUAGUAGAAUCUAGGAAGAAACAUAUCUGAGCCCAUUUAUGCCUACAGUGAGAAACUGAAUACCCUGCAAUAAAAAGUAGACAGAAGCUAUUUGUAAAAAUGCUUUGUGAUGUGUGGAUUCAGUGUUAAACUUUUAUUUUGAUUCCACAGUUUUGACACCCUAUUUGUAGAAUAUAUGAAUGAACAUUUCUCAGCCCAUUGAGGCCUAUCAUGUGAAACCAAAUAUUUUAUAAUAAAAACUGGAAACAAGUGAUCUGUUAAAAUGUUUUUUAGUGUGUGAAUUUGUUUCACAAAGAUAAAUCUUUGCAUGGAUUCAACAGGUUGGAAACAUUAUUGUA
rnacentral:lncRNA from 10 species